AAAACAAAGCAAAAAAGAGAGGGAAGAAAGUUAAAGAAAGAUGGCAGCAAGAAUGGCUACUACAUCAACUGUUGUAGGAUUGGUUAGUUCCUCUCUUUCAUCCCCAAGAAGGACAUCCCUCAACUCAGGUAAUUUAACUUUUUAUUUUCUUCUCUAAGAACUGCUGGAGUUACUAAUGCUCUUUUGUUUUUAUCCCUCAACUCAGGUAAUUUAACUUUUUAUUUUCUUCUCUAAGAACUACUGGAGUUACUAAUGCUCUUUUGUUUUUGUUUUUGUUUUUCAUUCACUGAGCCGAGGGUCGAUUGGAAACAGCCUCUCUGCCCUUUCGGGUAGGGAUAAGACUUGUCUACAUAUUACCCUCCCCAAACCCCAUUUUAUGGGACUAUACUGGAUAGUUAUUAUUAUUGUUGUUGUUAUUUUCUUCUCUAAGAAAAAAUAUUGGUUUUUUUAUUUCAUGGCAACUUUCCACAUUAUCAUAAUGGCUUUCUUUUCGGUAUUUACUUUCAAAAUAUUGUGCAUUUUCAAAAGGAUUUUUCAAUGAGUAAUACCAUCAGGAGGGGAUGUAGCUUCUCCGUUACGGUUCAACUGCACCUAUAGCCUUUGUCAGAAAGUACGAACUUAUUUGUAAAAACUUGCUAAAAUUCUAAUAACUAUUAGAUUUGAACUCAUAAUUUAUUUUAAUAAUAUAAUAAGUGCAACACUAAAAUCUUAAAAGCAGAUACCAUUAAAUUUAAAUCCUUUGCCUCUGAAUGCCACUCAGAGACUGAUCCAACCCUAUUGGCAGUGGCGGAUCCACUCAUAAAAAAUGGGUGCUCGAGCACCCAUUAACCUCGACGCAGAGUAUGUAUAGUUAUAUAAAAAAUUUGAGANNNNNNNNNNNNNNNNNNNNNNNNNNNNNNNNNNNNNNNNNNNNNNNNNNNNNNNNNNNNNNUUUGAGAAAAUGUAUAAAAAUUUACAAAAGCACCCAUUAAUUUUAUGUAUAAAAAAAAUUCAGCACCCACAAACUUGAAUUCCUAGAUCCGCCACUGCCUAUAGGUAGGAGUUUGGUAGAACCUGAUAGUUUUGAAUCAAACCCUAUAGAUAUGAGUUUGGUAGAACCUGAUAGUUUUGAUUCAAAUUCCACAUUUUGUGUUAAAUUUUUUGUUAAAUAUAUAUAAGUAAUAUACUUAAAAUUGAGUAAGUAAAAAAUACUAUGGUACAGAACCAAUAAAUUUAAAAUUCUAGCUCAAUUUAUGAUAUUGUUUGACUAAUUCACGUACAUUCAGUCACAUUCCCAUUUUUAAGUUAGUGAGUGCAAAAAAUAUUAAAUUCUCUAGUUUGACAAUAAGUAUGGAUUUAACAUUAAAGUCAUUUUAAAUUUUUUAAUUUUUGUUAUAUUAAUUCUUAAAUGUAUAUGCAUCUUUUGCCGAAUGGUACUACAUCCUAUAACUGUAGUAAUAGAGGAAAAUUUCUGGUUGACUAUUUAUUAUAGGAAUAAUAGUCAUUUUUAUUAGGUGGAUUAUUACAACAACAACAAUCCAGUAUAAUCCUAUUUAGUGGGGUUUGAGGAGGGUAAUGUGUACGCAGACCUUACCCCUACCCUAGGGUAAAGAGGUUGUUUCCAAAUAGACCCCCGGCAUACUUCCCUCCAAGAACUUCCCACCUUGCUCUUGGGGAGGCUCGAACUCACAACCUCUCAGUUGAAAGUGGGGGUUACUUACCAUAAGAGCAACACCUCUUGUCAAUAGGUGGAUUAUUGUAAUAAAUAUUAUUUUCACUUUUCCACUAAUUCCGUUUUUCUUCACAGGCUUCUUAAAAUCACCAGUGUCAGCAAGAAACCCUCUAAGGAUCGCCCAAGCUUCAGGAGGCAAAUUUACAUGGUAAAUUACCAGAUAAAGAUCUAUUUAAUUACAGUGGGGUUAUUUACACAGUCUUUAUAUUAUUUUUGAGUUUAAUUUUUAUAGUCAGUGUAUAAAACUUUUUACAUGAUUAAAUUAUCUAAGGUAGCUACUGAUUGAUGCUCGUAAUAAAUGGAGUUAGUAACACGUAUUGUAAAUUUGUAUUAACAUAAAAAUUCUGAAGGAGAGCAUUGGCAUAACUGAUCAGAGAUCACGGGUUUGAGUCGUGGAAAUAGCCUCUUGCAGAAAUAUAGGGUAAGUCUGCGAUCGAUAGACCCUUAUGGUCCGACCGCACAUACCAGAAGCUUCGUGUACCGGGCUAUUUUAAUAUAAAAACUUAUAUAAUAUCAGCUUAUGUAAGUUAGUUUUUUGUUUUAGUCAUAAUUCAUUUGUAAUUUUGUACUGUGUAAUUUGAAG
rnacentral:lncRNA from 1 species